AUGAUGAGACUGGUGACCUCUGCCCAGCAGGCCACUUCUGCCCACCAGGUAGCAGCAAGCCAAAGCUGUGUCCCRCUGGCACGUUUUUACCUCAGUCUGGGAUGGUUUUUCAUAAUGCCUGUCUGCCCUGCCCUGGAGGGAAGUUCUGCCAAGGAGAGGGUCUGGCCAGUGUUUCUGGAAUAUGUUACGCUGGGUAUUUCUGUGAUGUUGGAUCCACURAGCCAAAUCAUAAGCGCUGCCCCCCUGGCUCCUACUGCCCUGAAGGCUCUGAAUCCCCAGUCCCGUGCAGCCCAGGAAGCUUCAACUCUGACAGUGGAAAAUGGCAGUCAACGGACUGUCAGCUCUGCCCAGCUGGAUACUUCUGCAGUGGUUUUGGAGCACAUACUCCUGAGCUGUGCCCUCGUGGGUACUUCUGUCUGCCAGGUACCAACUUCAGUACAGAGCAUCCGUGUCCAAAAGGUACCUUUGGCCCCAGGGCUGGUGCCACUAGUGAGUCGGACUGUGAGCCCUGCCCAGCAGGCAUGUAUUGCUCAGCAGCAGGUCUAUCACAGCCUUCUGGGUUUUGCCACUCAGGUUAUCAUUGCACCAAGGGAGCCRUCAGCCCAGCCCCCUUCGAACACA
rnacentral:lncRNA from 1 species